UACAGAGGUGCCAAGCGUUAGGCGGAAUCACUGGGCUUAAAAGCGCGCGUAGGCGGAUGUUUAAGUGUCUUGUGAAAUCCCGACCGCUCAACCGUGGAACUGCUGGGCAUACUGGACAUCUCGAGGCACUCAGGGGCGAGCGGAACAAGUGGUGGAGCGGUGAAAUGCGUAGAUAGUCACUUGGAACGCCAAUGGGUGAAGACAGCUCGCUGGGGGUGUCCUGACGCUGA
rnacentral:rRNA from 1 species